GUGUGCUGCCCGCCAGUAUACCCACAGGAGAACAGGAAGUCGGGCCAUAUCCGCCUAUAUUAUGCACACAGCACGGCUGGCAGACUACGGGGACAGAAAACCCUUUGAAAAUGGGUUCCCUAUUAAUGGGAGGCUUGUUGCUGUUUAUUCCAGACGCUAAGGCUGACUAUGAAACAUCCUGUUUGUGAAGACACAGUUGCUGAAUCCCAUCAUAACAAUGGAGGUUUGCAGGCCACCAUGCUGACAUCAAUUUCAGCAUUGGACUCGUUUCCAUCCUGUUUGGCCUCUCCUGCAUUUGCUGUCAUUGCUUGCAUCUGAUUCAGCAACUGUCAUUCUGCAUUUCUGUUUACUUGCAUUUUGAACCCUUAGCAAUAAUAAAAGUCUUAGGAGUUUUCCAUUUGG